rnacentral:rRNA from 1 species
AUGAACGCUAGCUACAGGCUUAACACAUGCAAGUCGAGGGGCAGCAUGAACUUAGCUUGCUAAGUUUGAUGGCGACCGGCGCACGGGUGAGUAACACGUAUCCAACCUGCCGAUGACUCGGGGAUAGCCUUUCGAAAGAAAGAUUAAUACCCGAUGGCAUAGUUCUUCCGCAUGGUAGAACUAUUAAAGAAUUUCGGUCAUCGAUGGGGAUGCGUUCCAUUAGGUUGUUGGCGGGGUAACGGCCCACCAAGCCUUCGAUGGAUAGGGGUUCUGAGAGGAAGGUCCCCCACAUUGGAACUGAGACACGGUCCAAACUCCUACGGGAGGCAGCAGUGAGGAAUAUUGGUCAAUGGACGAGAGUCUGAACCAGCCAAGUAGCGUGAAGGAUGACUGCCCUAUGGGUUGUAAACUUCUUUUAUACGGGAAUAAAGUGAGGCACGUGUGCCUUUUUGUAUGUACCGUAUGAAUAAGGAUCGGCUAACUCCGUGCCAGCAGCCGCGGUAAUACGGAGGAUCCGAGCGUUAUCCGGAUUUAUUGGGUUUAAAGGGAGCGUAGGCGGACGCUUAAGUCAAUUGUGAAAGUUUGAGGCUCAACCGUAAAAUUGCAGUUGAUACUGGGUGUCUUGAGUACAGUAGAGGCAGGCGGAAUUCGUGGUGUAGCGGUGAAAUGCUUAGAUAUCACGAAGAACUCCGAUUGCGAAGGCAGCCUGCUGGACUGUAACUGACGCUGAUGCUCGAAAGUGUGGGUAUCAAACAGGAUUAGAUACCCUGGUAGUCCACACAGUAAACGAUGAAUACUCGCUGUUUGCGAUAUACAGUAAGCGGCCAAGCGAAAGCGUUAAGUAUUCCACCUGGGGAGUACGCCGGCAACGGUGAAACUCAAAGGAAUUGACGGGGGCCCGCACAAGCGGAGGAACAUGUGGUUUAAUUCGAUGAUACGCGAGGAACCUUACCCGGGUUUGAACGUAGUCAGACCGGCCUUGAAAGAGGUCUUCUAGCAAUAGCUGAUUACGAGGUGCUGCAUGGUUGUCGUCAGCUCGUGCCGUGAGGUGUCGGCUUAAGUGCCAUAACGAGCGCAACCCUUAUCGAUAGUUACCAUCAGGUUAUGCUGGGGACUCUGUCGAGACUGCCGUCGUAAGAUGUGAGGAAGGUGGGGAUGACGUCAAAUCAGCACGGCCCUUACGUCCGGGGCUACACACGUGUUACAAUGGGGGGUACAGAAGGCAGCUACACGGCGACGUGAUGCUAAUCCCUAAAGCCUCUCUCAGUUCGGAUUGGAGUCUGCAACCCGACUCCAUGAAGCUGGAUUCGCUAGUAAUCGCGCAUCAGCCACGGCGCGGUGAAUACGUUCCCGGGCCUUGUACACACCGCCCGUCAAGCCAUGAAAGCCGGGGGUACCUGAAGUGCGUAACCGCGAGGAGCGCCCUAGGGUAAAACUGGUGAUUGGGGCU